rnacentral:rRNA from 1 species
UCGCCUGUUUUUUCAAAAACAUUGCCCCAUGAAUAACAUGUGGGGUAAUACCUGCCCAGUGACAAUGUUCAACGGCCGCGGUAUCCUAACCGUGCAAAGGUAGCAUAAUCAUUUGCCUAUUAAUUGUAGGCUAGAAUGAAUGGGUUAACGAAAUAAAGACUGUCUCGAUUAACAACCUAAAAAUUACUCCCCACUUGAAGAAAGUAGAUAUCCUCGAAGGACAAGAAGACCCUAUAGAGCUUAAUUUUACCUAUAGGCCCACUAUAAUAAUAUUCGGUUGGGGCGACCCAGGGAUAAAAAACACCCAACAAAUAAAAGAUACAUAAAUCAAAUAAAUGACCCUUAAAAGAUCAUGAGAACAAGCUACCUUAGGGAUAACAGGCUAAUCCCACUCAAGAGUCCCUAUCGACAGUGGGGGUUGGCACCUCGAUGUUGGCUUAGGGUAUCUAUACAGCGCAAAAGCUGUAUAAAGAUGGUUUGUUCAACCAAUAACACCCUACGUGAUCUGAUUUC